UACGGAGGGUGCAAGCGUUGCUCGGAAUCACUGGGCGUAAAGCGCACGCAGGCGGCGUGCCAAGUCGAGUGUGAAAUCCCUGGGCUCAACCCAGGAACUGCACUCGAAACUGGCACACUUGAGUCCGAGAGAGGGUGGUGGAAUUCCUGGUGUAGAGGUGAAAUUCGUUGAUAUCAGGAGGAACAUCGGCGGCGAAGGCGGCCACCUGGCUCGGUACUGACGCUCAUGUGCGAAAGCGUGGGUAGCAAACAGG
rnacentral:rRNA from 1 species